CUAGCACACGCUGCGUAGUAGAAGUCUAUGAAGUAUCCCUGUUUUUUACAGGGAGGAACUAUUUAUCCUUGUUCUGUAUGAUUGUUUCUAAGAAAGAGUUGGAGACAAAGAACCUGUUUUUACCGGCAGCUGUUGUGUACUGCGGAGACGUGGCGAACUCGUGUGUUUUUGCAGUUACCUAUAGACUGAAGUUCCGAUCCAUAAUAAAACUUGAAGCCUUUCCUGUGUUUUUGAUUCAUCAUGAGAAGGGACGAGAGUAGAGAAGCUUACGGUACGGCCCAACAAAAUACGGCACGAGUGAGCCUGCUACCUGCUAUUGGUGCUAGGAUCGUACAUGUUCUCCACAACAGUUUCAUACUCGAAGAACCUGGCGAGGUUGU